rnacentral:rRNA from 1 species
ACGGGGUGCAGAGGCGCGAAACCUUUGCAAUGUGCGCAAGCACGACAAGGUUAAUCCGAGUGUUUCCUGCUAAAGGAAUCUUUUGUUAGUUUUAAAAUCACUAUUGAAUAAGGGGUGGGCAAGUUCUGGUGUCAGCCGCCGCGGUAAAACCAGCACCUCAAGUGGUCAGGAGGAUUAUUGGGCCUAAAGCAUCCGUAGCCUGCUCUGUAAGUUUCCGGUUAAAUCCAUUAGCUCAACUAAUGGCCUGCCGGAAAUACUGUAGAGCUAGGAAGUGGGAGAGGUAGACGGUACUCGGUAGGAAGGGGUAAAAUCCUUUGAUCUAUUGAUGACCACCUGUGGCGAAGGCGGUCUACCAGAACACGUUCGACGGUGAGGGAUGAAAGCUGGGGGAGCAAACCGGAUUAGAUACCCGGGUAGUCCCAGCUGUAAACGAUGCAGACUCGGUGAUGCCCUGGCUUGUGGCCAGUGCAGUGCCGCAGGGAAGCCGUUAAGUUUGCCGCCUGGAAGUACGUACGCAAGU